GACCUUUGUAAAACCCUGGCCAAAUCCCAUUUCUAAAAGGUCAUUGUUGUCUGGUUCAUAAACACUGAUCCAUACCAGAUCUUUCCAAUAUCAUAAAGCAGAAAAGGACGGGGGGAAACCUGUCUUAGUCACUCCCCUUAAUUUGUUUUCUCCCUGUGUCAUGUCUAGUCCCCUGCACUAGAUAUUUGUCAUCUUUGGGCUGGGAUCCAUGGAGAUAUGAAAUGCUGGCAACAUCCUCAGUACACCUUGACUGCUGUUUCACCUCUGCUUCCAGUUAUCAGCCUAAAUCCUUUCCCUUUUGGCUUUUGCAACAUGAAAUGCCAAACGUUUCACAAUGAGCCAGUGGAAGUGUUUGUGGGUGUGUCGGUGUGAACAGCACCCUGCUCUUCAGCCACUGUUGUUGAGAAAAAAGAUACAAAUUUCCUUCUUCUGCAAGGCCAGGCACAGCCAACUGCCACAGUCUGUCAGUUGUAACUGUGAUUUUAUACAUUUUUAAGACUGGAACAAUAAACACGGCUCCAGCCUAAGGGCUGGAGACAUCCAAGGCCCUCAGCUGCUGCCACCAUAGAACCCACCUCUUAGGCCCUUAUUUCCUCAGCUGCCAAAUGAGGAUGCUCUUGUGUCUCUGCCUCACUCGUCCCAGGACAGGUGAGCACAUUAAAAGAUUGAAGGUUGCCUACAUCUUCUGAUGGUGGGAUCACAGAACCACCUUAUGGAUGCAGGUCAUGCUGCAGGAUGGAUGAAAUCCAAGUGCUGAGAGGAGCUUCAACCAGACCAACAGCAGUUGGCAGAGAGAUUCCCCAACUGGCAGGAGGAUGCCAGCAGCAAGAGUGGAAAGAUGAGGCUGGGAAUAAGAAGAUUGCUAACGCAGAUUUGCUGAAAGCAGCACCCUGGUAGGUAGACAAAGCAUCCCUCUGUUUUGUAGGUGAGACUGUUGCAAUUCUAUUAGGAAAUUUAAAAAGGAACAAGGAAAAAAUUAGGAAUAACAAACUUGAAAUACACCUAGAGGUAUAGGAACAAGAUAACCAAAGUAGAAGUUUCUAAUAUGAGACAUACUUCCUCCCAGGAAAUGAGCCUGUUCCUAAAAAAUACCAGGCAUGUUGCUCAUGACAAGGGAAGAGAAGAUGAAUUUGGUAAAUAGAAGCAAUUACUGAAGCUGGAAUGACAACAAAGCAUGCUAUCAGGACAAAACCUGUAAACCAAUUCGGGAUCAUGAAACAAAGAAAGAUGCAAAAGGCAAAAAUAGGCAAGACAGUAUAUGAAACUUUGUGACGUCAGUUAUUGAAAAAAUAUUCUGAUAUCAAACAUGUUCCAUUUUCUGGGUUUACUUUUGACCAGGUAUAUUUCUUUGAAUAUCAGACAUUUGAAAACUGGGAUGAAGAUAUGAAUGAACAUAUUCUAUAUGGUAUGCUGAGAACCAGAUUAAGCUUGCAAAUGGUUGGCUACAAUAGCCAGGUAAAGAACAUCAUAUUUCAAUAAAUUCACUUAAACAAAAGUGUCUUUUAGCA
rnacentral:lncRNA from 1 species